AGAGUUUGAUCAUGGCUCAGGACGAACGCUGGCGGCGUGCUUAACACAUGCAAGUCGAACGGAAAGUGCCCAGCUUGCUGGGUGACUCGAGUGGCGAACGGGUGAGUAACACGUGGGUGAUCUGCCCUGCACUUUGGGAUAAGCCUGGGAAACUGGGUCUAAUACCGAAUACACCCUGCUGGUCGCAUGGCCUGGUGGGGGAAAGCUUUUGCGGUGUGGGAUGGGCCCGCGGCCUAUCAGCUUGUUGGUGGGGUGAUGGCCUACCAAGGCGACGACGGGUAGCCGGCCUGAGAGGGUGUCCGGCCACACUGGGACUGAGAUACGGCCCAGACCCCUACGGGAGGCAGCAGUGGGGAAUAUUGCACAAUGGGCGCAAGCCUGAUGCAGCGACGCCGCGUGAGGGAUGACGGCCUUCGGGUUGUAAACCCCUUUCAAUAGGGACGAAGCGUAAGUGACGGUACCUAUAGAAGAAGCACCGGCCAACUACGUGCCAGCAGCCGCGGUA
rnacentral:rRNA from 1 species